rnacentral:rRNA from 1 species
UACGAAGGGGGCUAGCGUUGCCCGGAAUUACUGGGCGUAAAGCGCACGUAGGCGGUCUUUUAAGUCGGGGGUGAAAUCCUGGAGCUCAACUCCAGAACUGCCUUCGAUACUGGAAGACUUGAGUCCGGGAGAGGUGAGUGGAACUGCGAGUGUAGAGGUGAAAUUCGUAGAUAUUCGCAAGAACACCAGUGGCGAAGGCGGCUCACUGGCCCGGUACUGACGCUGAGGUGCGAAAGCGUGGGGAGCAAACAGG